rnacentral:rRNA from 1 species
AGUGAACGCUGGCGGCGUGCCUAAUACAUUCAAGUCGAACUGAGUGGCGCACGGGUGAGUAAUGUAUAGCUAAUCUGCCCUACACUAGAGGACAACAGUUAGAAACGACUUCUCAUACUCUAUAGUGUAGGAUGAGGCGAUAUUGUAUCAGCUAGUUGGUGAGGUAAUGGCUCACCCAGGGUAUGACGCAUAACUGGUCUGAGAGGAUGAUCAGUCACACUGGAACGGAGACACGGGCCAGGAUCCUACGGGAGGCAGGAGUAGGGAAUAGUUCUCAAUGGGGGAAACCCUGAAGCAGCAACGCCGCGUGGAGUAUGACACUUUUCGGAGCGUAAACUCCUUUUGUUAGGGAAGCGGUACCUAACGAAUAAGCACCGGCGAACUCCGUGCCAGCAGCCGCGGUAAUUC